UCUUGAAGGAGGAGCAGCCCCUUCAAAACCAAGCUGUGUGCCUGGGCUGUGUCCCCACUGCGCUCCUGCACGACCCCCGGUGCCUGCCCACUGAGGGUCGGGAUGGCCCACUAUGUUGCAGAGCAGUCUGACAGCCCUGCGUGAAAAUGUGCAGCCUGGAGGGGACUUUUUCUAACUUCGUUUGGCAUCCAGCGAAGACACUGUGACCCCCUGGGAGCUGCAGUGUGGCACUGCGUGUAUUUGACAAGCUGAGUCCGACACUCAGUGUGCAGAGUGUCAGUUUGUCAAAUACCCCAAGUGAGGCAUUGCUGAGCAACACGGCGCAGCCAAGGGUCCAGCCUCUUCCUCCUGCUCUGGCACGAGUCCUCCUCUCCAGGCUCUGCACCUCUCCAGAAACCCACCGAGGUACUGAACAGCCCGUCCCACUGUUACAGAACACCUGUGCUGCCACGUUUCCCUUCAACCCCAAUUUUGGAAGUGUCUACCGGGGUAUCCCUCCCAACAGUACAUCUGUGCAGAAGUGGUGGUGGUGCAGCUUCUCUGCACUGCAAAGGCAGAGAAUUGGGCCCAGGGUCCUUGUUCUUUGCUUCCAAAGACAGUGCUCUGCUCUUCUACACAGCAUUAACUAGCCAGCUGCUAAUGAAUCAUCCUGCUCAGUUAACAAGGAUUCUGGCAAGCAUAAUCACAACAUCAUGGGUACAGGCAGUAUUACCCAUAAUACAAACUCUUUUCUUUGCACAUGUAGGAAUCUUUUUUCAUUCAGAGUACAAACUAAUGAGGCUGCUGAUUAACUUAUCUCUGGCCCAUCAGCCAGUGAAAAUGCAUGUUUGCUCAAUCUGUUUUAAAUUGGACCAUAAAGUCCAUUGCUUCUCCCUGCAGCCUUGCUGUUUGGAGAAGACUCCUUGUCUUUGGAUGGUCAUUCCUAGUCAGCCCUUGCAGCAAGGUUGCCUGUUUCUGCUGUCUAAUGAAAGUAAUUCCCUCUAAAUCAUCCCACUUGAAGAUGUCACAAUUGGUAAGUGUUUUUAAUGACUGGCUUGUGGCAUAUCAGAUCUGCAGCUUCAGAUAUGUCAGAGUGGGGGCAGUGUCCAGCCCAGUUUGACAAAUCAAACUCUCUGAAAGCAUUUGACAUGGAAAACUCAGAAAUGAAUAAAAAUUCCCAAGACCCUACUGACUUGUUUUAGGACAGUACCACCAGCAAAAUUUGCAAUAUUUGAGAAUGUUAAUAAACUUGAAUACUAAGCUUU